UCCGCCCGGGUCCGUGGUUGCGUCGCACAGGCUGGGCAGGCGCCCUGCCGGGUGCGGCAAGCCGAUGCCAGUCGCAGGCGAAACGGUCCACGUAAGUCGGCCCUCGGGUCGACGAUCACGGUGCGGCUUAGUCGUAAGUCCUGCCUCGGACCGGACGUCAGAUACGUCCGAAUCCGGGAGAAGGUCAGUAGUGGCACCAAGCUGCGACCACCUCAGCAGGCGAUUGUGGGGUCGAAGACCAGGUCGGCCGGGCGGA
rnacentral:ncRNA from 1 species